UAGCAUAUCAAUAAGCGGAGGAAAAGAAACCAACAGGGAUUGCCUCAGUAACGGCGAGUGAAGCGGCAACAGCUCAAAUUUGAAAUCUGGCCCUAGGCCCGAGUUGUAAUUUGCAGAGGAUGCUUUUGGUGCGGUGCCUUCCAAGUUCCCUAGAACGGGACGCCAGAGAGGGUGAGAGCCCCGUACAGUUGGACACCAAGCCUUUGUAAAGCUCCUUCGACGAGUCGAGUAGUUUGGGAAUGCUGCUCAAAAUGGGAGGUAUAUUUCUUCUAAAGCUAAAUACCGGCCAGAGACCGAUAGCGCACAAGUAGAGUGAUCGAAAGAUGAAAAGCACUUUGAAAAGAGGGUUAAACAGCACGUGAAAUUGUUAAAAGGGAAGCGCUUGUGACCAGACUUGCGUCCGGUGAAUCACCCAGCUCUCGCGGCUGGGGCACUUCGCCGGCUCAGGCCAGCAUCAGCUCGCUGUCGGGGACAAAAGCUUCAGGAACGUAGCUCUCUUCGGGGAGUGUUAUAGCCUGUUGCACAAUACCCUUCGGCGGGCUGAGGUACGCGCUCCGCAAGGAUGCUGGCAUAAUGGUCAUCAGCGACCCGUCUUGAAACACGGACCAAGGAGUCAACCUUAUGUGCGAGUGUUCGGGUGUCAAACCCCUACGCGUAAUGAAAGUGAACGCAGGUGAGAGCUUCGGCGCAUCAUCGACCGAUCCUGAUGUUCUCGGAUGGAUUUGAGUAAGAGCAUAUAGGGUUGGACCCGAAAGAAGGUGAACUAUGCGUGUAUAGGGUGAAGCCAGAGGAAACUCUGGUGGAGGCUCGCAGCGGUUCUGACGUGCAAAUCGAUCGUCAAAUAUGCGCAUGGGGGCGAAAGACUAAUUAAACCUUCUAGUAGCUGGUUUCCGCCGAU
rnacentral:rRNA from 1 species